rnacentral:rRNA from 1 species
CCUACGGGUGGCUGCAGUGAGGAAUAUUCGUCAAUGGCCGUAAGGCUGAACCAGCAAAGCCGCGUGAAGGAAGAAGGUUCUCUGGUUGGUAAACUUCUUUUAUAGGGGAAUAAAGGUAUCCACGGGUGGAUAUUUGCAUGUACCCUAUGAAUCAGCAUCGGCUAACUCCGUGCCAGCAGCCGCGGUAAUACGGUGGAUGCGAGCGUUAUACGGAUUUAUUGGGUUUAAAGGGUGCGUAGGUUGGUUUGUAAGUCAGCGGUGAAAGUUUGUGGCUCAACCAUAAAAUUGCCGUUGAAACUGGAAGACUUGAGUGUGUUUGAGGUAGGCGGAAUGCGUGGUGUAGCGGUGAAAUGCAUAGAUAUCACGCAGAACACCGAUUGCGAAGGCAGCUUACUAAGCCAUAACUGACGCUGAGGCACGAAAGCGUGGGGAGCAAACAGGAUUAGAUACCCUGGUAGUC